ACUUUUAGCUUUUUAUUUGGCCGGACAUGUUUGACAUCUGAAGUCUGUUAACUUACACGUUCGAUCACUUGAACUCAAAUAAAAGAUGGUCCACCUUUUGUUCUCCUGAUGGAUGUAUGUAUGUAAACUUUGAAUUUCUGGGAAGUUCUUCUAGAUGUAGUUAUCCCUAUAUUGCUUUAGAGCAAGGUUUGCCUUGCUGUGAGGGGCUUUCUGGUGGCUCUGUCACUUCAUUUGCCAUUAACGUGUAGUCAAUCACUUGUUCGAAUGUCCAUGUGUAGUGCCCGAUACCAUUAAGCAUCAGCAGUUUGUGAUACAGCCAGCACGUUCAAUCUUUAUAAUGUUCCCUAUUAACACUCUGUGCCACUCCAAUUAACAAGAGGGUCACAAUUUUGAAUUCUCUUUUC